UCAGUUCAAGCUGGAAAAGAUUCAGGUAUUGUUCUGGCUACUAUCAAGACUAACAAACAGAAGUACCCUUCAGCUUUGGUGCACAAAACUGUCAUGAAGCUAGGAAACAUACCUUGUCUUCUCGUAUCACUGAAAUUCAGGUAAAACUUUCUGAGAGAGUAUUAGAGCUUCUUGUGUUGCCUGGCGAUGAUGUUCUGCUGCUGCUCCUUGAUAUUGGUUGUGGCUCUAGACUAAGCGGAGAAACAUUAUCUGAGAGUGGAAACCAAUGGAUUGGUUUAGACAUGUCUGAUUCAAUGCGAAGUGAAACGAUGUUGCAUUGGAGCGGGAUGUAGAAGGUGAUCUUUUGCUAAGCGAUAUGUGUCAGGUAAUUCUUCUUGUUUAUUUUCGACUCAAAUUGCCGUCUUGAUGAUUUGUGAAUCAUAGUUUGCAAUAUUAAGGAUUAGGUAG